rnacentral:piRNA from 1 species
UGCCAAAUGCUACACAUGUCCACUGUAAC